GAUGAACGCUGACAGAAUGCUUAACACAUGCAAGUCAACUUGAAUUUGGGUUUUUAACUUAGGUUUGGGUGGCGGACGGGUGAGUAACGCGUAAAGAACUUGCCUCACAGGUAGGGACAACAUUUGGAAACGAAUGCUAAUACCUAAUAUUAUGAUAAUAGGGCAUCCUAUAAUUAUGAAAGCUAUAAGCGCUGUGAGAGAGCUUUGCGUCCCAUUAGCUAGUUGGAGAGGUAACGGCUCACCAAGGCGAUGAUGGGUAGCCGGCCUGAGAGGGUGAUCGGCCACAAGGGGACUGAGACACGGCCCUUACUCCUACGGGAGGCAGCAGUGGGGAAUAUUGGACAAUGGACCGAGAGUCUGAUCCAGCAAUUCUGUGUGCACGAUGAAGUUUUUCGGAAUGUAAAGUGCUUUCAGUUGGGAAGAAACAAAUGACGGUACCAACAGAAGAAGUGACGGCUAAAUACGUGCCAGCAGCCGCGGUAAUACGUAUGUCACGAGCGUUAUCCGGAUUUAUUGGGCGUAAAGCGCGUCUAGGUGGUUAUGUAAGUCUGAUGUGAAAAUGCAGGGCUCAACUCUGUAUUGCGUUGGAAACUGUAUAACUAGAGUACUGGAGAGGUAAGCGGAACUACAAGUGUAGAGGUGAAAUUCGUAGAUAUUUGUAGGAAUGCCGAUGGGGAAGCCAGCUUACUGGACAGAUACUGACGCUGAAGCGCGAAAGCGUGGGUAGCAAACAGG
rnacentral:rRNA from 1 species